rnacentral:rRNA from 1 species
UACGUAGGGUGCAAGCGUUGUCCGGAAUUAUUGGGCGUAAAGAGCUCGUAGGCGGUUUGUCGCGUCUGCUGUGAAAAUCCAGGGCUUAACCCUGGACCUGCAGUGGGUACGGGCAGACUAGAGUGCGGUAGGGGAGAUCGGAAUUCCUGGUGUAGCGGUGAAAUGCGCAGAUAUCAGGAGGAACACCAAGAGCGAAGGCGGCCAACGUGGCCCGAUACUGACGCUGAGGCGCGAAAGCGUGGGGAGCAAACAGG